rnacentral:rRNA from 1 species
UCAUCUGUUUCUUAAAUAUUUAUUGAAUUUGACUUUUAAGUGAAAAGGCUUAAAUAAAUCAAAAAGACGAUAAGACCCUAUAAAUCUUAACAAUAAAUAUAUUUUAUAUUUUAGUUUAUAAGUGUAUAAGGAAUAAAAAUAUAGGUUUGUUACGCUGGGGCGGCGUAGAUAUAUAAAUAAACUGUCUAUAGUUUAAAUACAAUAAUCAUUGCUUAAUACAAAUUGAUCCUUAAAUAGAUUAAAAGAUUAAGAUACUUUAGGGAUAACAGCGUUA